rnacentral:rRNA from 1 species
CAGCACGCGUAUUACAAUGUUGAUACCAACGAGUCUAAUCGUAGUCAUCCUUCGGGUUGACUACUGACCUGCUCUAAAUUUCCGUUGCUGUGCUUCUGCAUAGUACCGGAACUCACUGUUCGCAGUGUAGAAGAAGAGUGGGAAACCUUUGCAAUUAUNAACGUGACUGGGAUAGCUGUUUGGAAGUCCAUCUUGAACGAGGAAUUCCUAGUAGAAGCAAGUCAUCAACUUGCAUCGAUUACGU